rnacentral:rRNA from 1 species
UACGUAGGGGGCUAGCGUUGUCCGGAAUCAUUGGGCGUAAAGCGCGCGUAGGUGGCCUCAUAAGUCCGUUGUGAAAGUCAAAGGCUCAACCUUUGAAAGCCGAUGGAUACUGUGAGACUAGAGUACGGAAGAGGCGAGUGGAAUUCCUGGUGUAGCGGUGGAAUGCGCAGAUAUCAGGAGGAACACCAAUAGCGAAGGCAGCUCGCUGGGACGUUACUGACACUGAGGCGCGAAAGCGUGGGGAGCGAACAGG